GCGGAUGUGGUGGAAUUGGUAGACACGCACGCUUGAGGGGCGUGUGGCUUUGCUGUGCGAGUUCGAGUCUCGCCAUCCGCA
rnacentral:tRNA from 4 species